UGCCACAGCCAUAUCACCCUGCAGCCCAAGCUAAGCAGCGUUGAGCCUGGUCAGUACCUGGAUGGGAGACCUCCUGGGAAAACUAGGUUGCUGUUGGAA
rnacentral:rRNA from 1 species